rnacentral:tRNA from 1 species
GAGGGUAUAGCUCAGUGGUAGAGUGCUGUGCUUAGCAUGCACGAGGUCCUGGGUUCAAUCCCCAGUACCACUA